UCGGGCCAACAACUCAAAUCAGCAACUUC
rnacentral:piRNA from 1 species